UACGUAGGGGGCAAGCGUUGUCCGGAAUCAUUGGGCGUAAAGAGCGCGUAGGCGGCCCAGUAAGUCCGCUCUGAAAGUCAGAGGCUCAACCUCUGAAUGCGGGUGGAUACUGCUGGGCUAGAGUCCGGAAGAGGCGAGUGGAAUUCCUGGUGUAGCGGUGAAAUGCGCAGAUAUCAGGAGGAACACCGAUGGCGAAGGCAGCUCGCUGGGACGGUACUGACGCUGAGGAGCGAAAGCGUGGGGAGCGAACAGG
rnacentral:rRNA from 1 species